rnacentral:misc_RNA from 1 species
AACUUUCAGCAAUGGAUCUCGGACAGUGUAUUAACUUUUGGCAAUGGAUCACUUGGUUCUGGCAUCGAUGAAGAACGCAGCGAAAUGCGAUAAGUAGUGUGAAUUGCAGAAUUCAGUGAAUCAUCGAAUCUUUGAACGCACAUUGCGCCCCUUGGUAUUCCAUGGGGCAUGCCUGUUCGAGCGUCAUUUGUACCCUCAAGCUCUGCUUGGUGUUGGGUGUUUGUCCCGCGGUUCUGCGUGGACUCACCUUAAAACAAUUGGCAGCCGGCAUGAUAGCCUGGAGCGCAGCACAUAUUGCGCACCUUGCUGAUCUAUGUUAGCACCCAUUAAGCCCAUUUUUAGCUCUUGACCUCGGAUCAGGUAGGGAUACCCGCUGAACUUAAGCAUAUCAAUAAGCGGAGGCU